ensembl:misc_RNA Metazoa_SRP Metazoan signal recognition particle RNA
GCCAGGUGCAGUGGUGUGCACCUGUAGUCCCAGUUACUUGGGAGGCUGAGGCAGGGGAAUCACUUGAGCCCAGAGGUUUGGGGUUACAGUGAGUGCCACUGCACCCCAGCCUGGGUGACAGAGUGAGACUCUCUCUUU